UACGGGGGGGGGCAAGCGUUGUUCGGAAUUACUGGGCGUAAAGGGCUCGUAGGCGGCCAACUAAGUCGGAUGUGAAAUCCCCAGGCUUAACCUGGGAACUGCAUCCGAUACUGGAUGGCUUGAAUCCGGGAGAGGGAUGCAGAAUUCCAGGUGUAGCGGUGAAAUGCGCAGAUAUCAGGAGGAACACCGAUGGCGAAGGCAGGUCACUGGGCCGCAACUGACGCUGAGGAGCGAAAGCAUGGGGAGCGAACAGG
rnacentral:rRNA from 1 species